GGGGCUUUAUAAAUCAAUUGGAUUUGAUGCGGAACCCACUGACAAUCGUCUGUAGCUAACUGUUCUGCUCAUGAUCCAAGUUACCUUUCCAUUCGUUCCAAGCCAGCGUACCUGGCGGUGGUGCACCCGUUCCGUCUGAUGACCUCCGAACCCUCUCUAAGACCAUCUGGAUCAACCUGUUUGUGUGGGUGGUGUCAUUUGUCAUGGUCCUUCCUGCCUGGGUCCACUCCAAAGUAAUUCUCUUCCCUGACGGACUGGAGAGCUGCUCCAUGAACCUGGUCAAACCUGAAGAGGUGCUCUGGUACACCCUCUAUCAGACCCUCACAUCUUUCUUUCUGCCCUUGCCCCUUAUCCUCACCUGUUACAUGCUGAUCCUGUGCUAUACCUGGAGGAUGUCCCUGAAGAACAAGAGAGAACGGUGCUUCAGUGCUAACAACCAGUCCCGGGACCGAGCCAUCUGGUCAACUUAACACUGCGGCGGCCCACGCUGGCCUACUCCACCUGAUACCUGUCAGUGUGCCUCAGCUACGCCGCCAGCAGCAUUAACCCUUUCAUCUACAUCCUGAUCAGCGGACACUUCCGUCGCAGCCUCACUUACCGCAAGCCGACCAGCAGGCCUAAUGUUGAGAGGGAGCCUUGUGGGCCCCAGGUCCGUACACCACAUUCCAGCUUCUGACAAUCCUGUCCUCAAAGCAGGCACACACACAUACACACGCACACACAUGGAUGCAUGCACGCAUACAAGCGCAUCCCCACAUGCGUUCGCACCCACACACACACACACACAUAAACACACACCACCACCAUUACGGCCUAUCCCCAGCACACUGCCUGGGGCAUUACCUAUGGCAGGAGAAUUACCUUUUGGUCAAGGAGUGCUUUAAUUUACAUUGUGGAUUGACUGAUCCUCAACAGGAUCAGAGUGUUAUCAUUUAUUUUCUACUAUGGUUUUCAAAUGGACUGUACGGUAAAAUACUGUAGUUAUUACAUUGUAAAGUAAUUAUGUUCACAUGAGUAGUUCCUGCUGUUAAAGAAAAGACAUAUAUUGUUAAUGGAUCAGCCUCAUGGGUGGUUAGCAUAACACGCUAGGGGUUAUUGCCUGUUAGGAUAUUUUUGUGUUGCCAUCUUGUAAAGAUACUGUACCUGUGUUCAGAAUAUGGCUCAAACUUAUCAUGGUGGCAAGGCUCCAUCCAGAGGUAGAUUGGGAUAUUGCAAGGAUUGAUCCACUAUCAUUUUGGAUUCACCUGAAUGUGGCUGAUAUUACUUUCACUGUGUAUUUUAAUGUAUAGCUAAAAAAAUAAGAAAAAAAACACAUUUGAGGUGUUUUCCAUUAGCACAUAGUUUGGCAUUUGUUUUCAACCUAAAGUUAGUGUUGCUAUAUCAUUAAUUGGUGCAUUGAUUGUGAUGUGUGGGACUUUGAACACACAGAAACAUAUGUUCUACUGAACUGUAUCUACUGCUAACA